rnacentral:lncRNA from 1 species
GGAGGAGGAGGAGGAGGAGGAGGAGGAGGAGGAGGAGGAGGAGGAAGGAAUGCCAAGAAUUACUGGUGUUAUUAUUUCACUAGGAGGUAAAGUGACAAUCAGGAAGGUGAGAGCUUGCCCUCAAAGUUAUAUAUCUGCUUAUGUACUGAAUUUGGGAAACAGAAGACAAAGUUCAUCUUUUAUCAUUGGAAGAGAAGGACAUGGAUGAGUCCUUGAGAAGAUGUGAACAGCAAUAAUUAUACUGCAUUGGUCUUCACUCCAGGCAUAUGAGUUUUCCAUAUGGUUUCUUCAAACUCCUUUUUGAUUCGUCAUACUGAAUACCUACCCACCACCCCCAUAUUCACUAGAUUUUCAGAAUAAUUCAAGAAAGGAUGAUUUCAAAUGCACAGUUCCACUCUAAAGACACCAAGAGCCUGUUGAUGAACUCUUCAGUACAGUGUCUUCAGAGCAGCAAUAUCUGUGAAGUGACAGGAAAAACAAGCAUAAAGGAUAGAAACUGGAGCAUGAAGAAGAUGAGACAUUGGCACAAUGGAAUACCAAAAUAAAGAAGAAAAUUUCUAUUAAUAGAUACCAAAACAGGAGAGGAAGGGAUUAUAUACUUGCCAUUUAGGUGGUACUCUUUGUCUAGUUGUCCAAAAGGUCUGAAGACACAGCAAUACUUGCAAAAUAAGUUUUCAUCAACAGAUGUUAUAAUUGUGUAUUUUACGGAACGUUGUUAUGCAUUUUCUACUUCAAAUCAAAUGGACCCCAUAUCUCUCAUUAUGAGAAUUUAUCUCAGUAUGUAGGAAAGAUAUGUAAACAAUGAAACCUUAGAUAAGUUACUGCCCAUGACAAUUUCUUCUAGUGUUUUAAAAUUCUAUCAAGUGACCCCUUCAGUGCUUGCCAUCCUAUACUACUGCCAGAAGAAUGAAUUUUGCUGCAAGAGAAUUAAUGUCAUUGCUAGCACUAAGAUAUUUUGUAUGACAGAAUGGCUAAAAGUUCAGAAUUGAACAUGAUACACAAACAAAAUUUAGUUGAUAUCUGCCUUACUACUCACUCUAAAUUACUAAGAUAAUUAGAAGAAAAGUAGAGGGGGGGGAGAAGGAGGAGGCAGAGUGAGCUUACACGGGCUUCAAGUCAUUAUCCCAUGAGCAGGUACACAAGUUAAGUUUCUGAGUCACUAUUAUUUCUUGUUUACUUUUUCUUCCUUCAUUCUUUGUCACAGAGAGGGGAAAGUAUAGACCUCAGUGUGAUUUGGUCCAUUCUGAAAAAAACAAUAAAUUUUCAGAGAUCAGAAUGAAGAAAUCCUAG